rnacentral:rRNA from 1 species
AUUGAACGCUGGCGGCAGGCCUAACACAUGCAAGUCGAGCGAGCGGCGGACGGGUGAGUAAUGUAUGGGGAACUGCCAGAUGGAGGGGGAUAACUACUGGAAACGGUAGCUAAUACCGCAUACUAUCGGAUGUACCCAUAUGGGAUUAGCUAGUAGGUGGGGUAAAGGCUCACCUAGGCGACGAUCCCUAGCUGGUCUGAGAGGAUGACCAGCCAAACUGGAACUGAGACACGGCCCAGACUCCUACGGGAGGCAGCAGUGGGGAAUAUUGCACAAUGGGCGCAAGCCUGAUGCAGCCAUGCCGCGUGUAUGAAGAAGGCCUUCGGGUUGUAAAGUACUUUCAGCGGGGAGGCGUUACCCGCAGAAGAAGCACCGGCUAACUCCGUGCCAGCAGCCGCGGUAAUUC